rnacentral:rRNA from 1 species
UUAGUCAAUGCUCGUAAGAGUGACCCUAGCUAACUGAAAUCAUAGAAUUUUUUUAAGUUCAUGAUGUCGUAAGGGAAAAUAAUGAUAAUACCUUACUAUGAGUGUCGUCCAAAUCUGGUGCCAGAAGACUCGGUAAGACCAGAGACGCAAACGUUAAUCAUCAUAAACAGGCGUAAAGGGUUUGUAGGCAGCUUUUAUAAGAUUAAAAAAAUUAAUUUAAUUGAAAGCUAGAAUCAAAAAGAGGUUAUAGUGUAUAACGCCUAGAGGAGGGCUGAUAUCCAUAGAUCCUAGGCAGAAUACUUAGGGCGAAGGCCACUCUCCACUAAUGAUUGACGCUGAGAAACGAAGGUUAGGGUAGGAAAUAGGAUUAGAUACCCCGGUACUCCUUUCUGUAAACGAUGAAUGGUAGUCAUUAGUUAAAUUAAAUAACUAGAGGCGAAGUUAACACAAUAACCAUUCCGCCUUGUGAGUACUACUGCAAA